ACCUAAAAAAUGAUGAAACCUACAAGGUAUGAAAUGAAAGGUAAAAAGUAGGUUACUAUACUAUAGGGUUAGGUUUUGCUUUAAAAUUGCAAUAUGCUGGUAAUAUUUGGAAAAUAUCAUAAUUGUUCAGUAGAAAGCUCACAUCUAUUGUUUGGCUGAAAAUGUAUGAUUUUCGUUUUUUAAGGAUGUGAUAUUUUACCUAACAACGGUAACACUCGAACACUGGAAGUUUUUCAACAUGGCUACAUUGUCUUUGUCUACCGCUGGGUGCAUCUAUUAGGAUAAUAGAAAUUAGUGAAAAAUCUCCAUCUUUUAUAAUAUUUUAUUCAAAUUCUAUAGUUAUGAGUGGUGAAUCUCAGAAAAUGGAUUGCACUGACACCAUCGUGAACAAACCUGAUAUUCUCUUCAAAAAGAGGAAAUGCCAUCAAGUCAAUAGAAAAAGGAGACGCUCCAAUGAUGAAAGUAGUAGUGAUGAUGAGACAGUUGUUGUUGAGAGGAAGUUGAAAGAGUUGAAGAACAAUCCUCUCAUUCAAAAAACUGUGAAGAGAGGCAUGAAGAAAAUAGUUGAUGCGUCAGGGGAUGGAGAUGGAGAUGGUGAUGACGAGGAUGAUGAUGAUAACGACAAAGUGACCGUCUCUUAUAAAUCAAAGAAGAACGUGCAGCCUGAGGGGCCUAGCGAUCAAGGUGCUACUGCCAUUUUGGAAAUAGAAACCGAAGUUGACCGAGAUGCCCAAGCUAUAUUUGAAAAUUCUCUCAAAAUCAACAAGGAGCUAAAAGGUAAAGCUGACGAUAAGAUCUACCGUGGUAUGGCAAACUACACGCAGUUCUAUGAAAAGAGAGAUACAGCUCAAGGAAACGCUUCCAGUGGCAUGGUGCGCAAAGGUCCCAUCAGAGCCCCAGCAAAUUUGAGAGCCACAGUGAGAUGGGAUUAUCAACAAGACAUCUGCAAAGAUUAUAAAGAAACUGGAUUCUGUGGAUUUGGCGCUUUUUUGUAGAUUCCUCAAUAUCUUCUGCGACUGAGAGAAUAGCAGUAUCAUCUGCAAAUUUAGCUAUAGUGACUCCUGCUGGCUUUGGAAUGUCACUAGUGUACAGUGUAUACAAAACUGGUCCUAGCAGACUUCCUUGGGGUACACCAGCUUUAAUUUGCCUUAGUGUAGAAUAUUCAUCAUCCAGCUUCACUCUGAAAUAUCUCUCGUCCAGACAGCUGUAAAUUCCUACACGAUCGAUCAGAUUAUAAAUCCGGAUGGCAGCUUGAAAGGGAAAUGGCAGAGGGUACCUACGCUGGAGAAGAUUCGGAUGAUCAGAAAUAUGAAAUAGACUCAGAUGAUUCCAA
rnacentral:misc_RNA from 1 species